UGGCGGACGGGUGAGUAACGCGUGGGUAACCUGCCUCAUACAGGGGGAUAACGGUUAGAAAUGACUGCUAAUACCGCAUAAGCGCACAGUACCGCAUGGUACGGUGUGAAAAACUCCGGUGGUAUGAGAUGGACCCGCGUCUGAUUAGCUAGUUGGUGAGGUAACGGCCCACCAAGGCGACGAUCGGUAGCCGGACUGAGAGGUUGAACGGCCACAUUGGGACUGAGACACGGCCCAG
rnacentral:rRNA from 1 species